rnacentral:lncRNA from 1 species
CUCUUGUUGCCUUGUGAGGAAGGUAUGUGUUUCUCCUUCGCCUUCUGCCAUGCGUGUAAGUUUCCUGAGGCCUCCCCAACCAUGUGGAACUGAGAGAUAGAGAUUGCAGAUGGCUACAGAGAAGAUUCUACAUGGGGAAGGCCCCACACAUAGCUGGCUACAUCAACUACAAAGGAUAUCUUUUGGGGAGGAAGUUUUGAGGACUGCUUUCUACUGAGACUUCAAUCUAUGUGGUGUAUGGCUCUCAACAGACUGAUCACUAUGGUAACCACAAAACCUACAAAACCUGAUGGUCAAAUGCUUAGAAAGGUCCUUGGUUAUGAUAGAAAAAAUAUGAUGGUAGCAUGCCCAACAUAGCAUGCAUUUAGGCUAUGCAUAAAUACAUACCACUCUUGUUUUUGUGGACAGAAAGCUAUUAAGCAGUAUAGGGAAAAACAAUGGGCCUCUGGUAGGAUUAAAGAAGUUGGCAUCACAUUGUAGAUCCAAGUUCCCCUGGGGAAUGACCCCACUCGAAAUAAGGAAGGCUGUGAGAGGCCUUAUGGCACACUCAAAUUAAAUUACAUCUACCUGUAAACACCAAUCAUCUAACUCUAGUGUGGGGACCCAAAAUUUUUUGCAAAACAUUUAUCCUAACUGCAUUCGCGCCAUUAGUACGCAAUACCAAUGAUAUGCAUGGUAGAUUAAACAACACUGGCUCCUAAGACAGAAAAGGGCCUCAGGAGAGAUAGGUGCAGGUCUAGGUAUCCUGGGACAAGCUGAGUUUACUCUUAAUGUGGAGCAGCAUUCGGAGGAAAAAGAUUUAUUAACUAGAAGAGACAGAAUAGAGGAAAUUCUCUUCAAGGAGGAAGGCAAAGGAUGGAGUCGGGGCGGAAAGAUAAUGAGGCUUUAGCGAAGUGGAUCAGGCCAACUCAACAAACAAUGCUGGGCACUGCUAACACCCAGCCCAGGGGAAAGGGCUUGUACCCUGACCCAAUAGGACCUCUUGACUAUUUUAAUACAGAUGGAAGCUGAAGUGGCCAUGGGGCAGUGACCUGCUAUUCUGGCUGCUGAGGUCCAAGAGACCCACCCAUGGGAGUCUGAUGGCCUUCCAAACUUAUGGAAGUUCUCUGAGGGCACUUGUAGUUUUACACUGAUAGACUAUGAAUGCUCUCACCCACAGCAUAGAUCAAAAUGAAAUACAUCCUGCAGUACAGUUGGUAGAAAUGGGAACCACUCUGAAUACCACCUGUGUCCUCCCUGCAAGAAGGAGGUGGGCCUUGCUAUCUAAUAAUACACAAUGGAAACCAGCCUCAGUACAAGCCUGUGAGAUGAGGUGGGGUGGUUCUUUUUGUCCUCAAUUAACUAGAAACCCAGAUAUAACUAAACCAUGGCCAACUGUAAUAAUGCCCUUCCUUAAUAAUAUCUGACAAAUGGACAAGAGUAGAUUCUGUUGGGAAGACAAGACAAAUUCCUCUGUAAUUCUUACUUAUUUGUUCUUUUAUGAAACUGAGUUGUCCCAUGACCAUACGGUGAUAUGGUGUCAUACUGGUGCUGUAAGUAAGAUUCAAUUACCUGGUAUAAAUAAAUCUUAUGAUA